rnacentral:rRNA from 1 species
CCAGACUCCUACGGGAGGCAGCAGUGGGGGAUAUUGCACAAUGGGGGGAACCCUGAUGCAGCGACGCCGCGUGGGUGAAGGAGUAUUUCGGUAUGUAAAGCCCUAUCGGCAGGGAAGAAGCAAGACGGUACCUGACUAAGAAGCCCCGGCUAACUACGUGCCAGCAGCCGCGGUAAUACGUAGGGGGCAAGCGUUAUCCGGAUUUACUGGGUGUAAAGGGAGCGUAGACGGCUGUGCAAGUCAGAAGUGAAAGCCCGGGGCUCAACCGCGGGACUGCUUUUGAAACUGUGUAGCUGGAGUGCAGGAGAGGUAAGUGGAAUUCCUAGUGUAGCGGUGAAAUGCGUAGAUAUUAGGAGGAACACCGGUGGCGAAGGCGGCUUGCUGGACAGUAACUGACGUUGAGGCUCGAAAGCGUGGGGAGCAAACAGGAUUAGAUACCCUCGUAG